CAUGCACAGCCCCUGUCUACUUCUAAGCUCAUAGUCACCCUCUCAUUGUAACAGUAAAUUUUUCUUACAGGAAGAGGCCCAGAGGCAGGGGCUCCAGAGACUGAAAAUGAACUGUUUCUCGGGAAUUAUGAUUGUGUUAUGCUUGACAUUUGGAGGAAGCGAGGAAGAGUCAGUGACACAGACCCAAGGCCAAGUGACCCUCUCAGAGAGAACUGCCCUGACUGUGAACUGCUCCUAUGAAACUGCAGUGUAUCCGGGCCUGUUCUGGUAUGUCCAGUAUCCCGGAGAAGGUCCACAGCUCCUCCUGAAAGCCACAAAGGACAAAGAGAAGGGAAGCAACAAAGGCUUUGAAGCCACGUAUGACAGAGAAACCGGCUCCUUCCAUUUGAAGAAAGCCUCAGUGCAGGCAUCAGACUCGGCUGUGUACUACUGUGCUCUGAGUGACACAGUGGCAGGAACCGCAGGGGGAGCUGAGCACAAACUCUGAGUGAUGACGAGGGAACUGGCUGCAGCUGUCUGCCUUGGGUUUUAUGGUUUAGGGGCCAGGAACGUGUCUAACAUGGCUGUUGCCUAUCAACCAGUGCUGGUGCUAUUAUAGUGUAAAAUCACUGGAACUAAAACUAACAAAACUGCAUAAAAACAGGAGGUAAACGUGUCUCCCACAAGACACUUUCAUGGUGAGAGUGAAACACACUGUCAUAAUGGAUUCUCAGUCAG